AUGGCAUCCAAGGGAGGAGUUGGAUAUCAACACCGUGCUGUCAAAGUGGCCUACACAGAGCGGCGACCUGGAGUGAACUAUACGUGUUACAUCCAAGGAAGUAAGACCCACAAAUGCAUUGACAGAGACUGCUCUCCAGGAGGAAACUGUAUGGGAGCUUUGGACAUCGCCGCUGAGUGUCAGGAUAGGAGAGCCAUUUCAGUUGGGGAGGGCUCUCCGACUAACAUGGCUGCACCAUCGAACGGAACAUACUUCAUACAGAAUGGCUGGUGGCUUUGUGGUCACAAGGUUUAUCCGAUGCUGCCCGCCAACUGGACAGGAGUGUGUGCACCAGUGUGGGUGACAGACCGCACCUACAGGAUACGACAUCGUCAGCUG